rnacentral:rRNA from 1 species
UACGGAGGGGGCUAGCGUUGUUCGGAAUUACUGGGCGUAAAGCGCACGUAGGCGGAUUGGUAAGUCGGGGGUGAAAUCCCGGGGCUCAACGACGGAACUGCCUUCGAUACUGGCGAGCUAGAGGUCGAGAGAGGCGAGUGGAAUUCGGAGUGUAGAGGUGAAAUUCGUAGAUAUUCGAAGGAACACCGGUGGCGAAGGCGGCUCGCUGGCUCGGUACUGACGCUGAGGUGCGAAAGCGUGGGGAGCAAACAGG